UCGGUCAUUGAGAAGCGCUUUAGGCAAAUAACAAAACAGCUUCUGCGCCUUUGUACCGUGAAGUGCCUGAAGGAGGGAGGAAGACAGGUAUUAAAGCAAAACCUCGCCGAAGUCUUGCCAUCCUCGAGAUGAAGAGGACAGCUUUCACCAUGCUGUCACACGUUCUAGCUAGCAGCCUUGUCAUCCACCUUGUGUCUCUGUCAUCGCUUAUUCCUUCCUCGGUAGCGCAAGACUACUCGGGCACCGGGUAUGUCAUCAGUAGACCUCCAGCAAGGUAUUACCACGAAGAUGUCGGGGACGCUGUCUACAACAGCAAGCCUUACAUCAGUGGAGACGACAAGCCAGAAACCUUCAGCCACUCACAAGACUACGACGACAACCGCCCUGACGAUGACACGAAGGUCACGGUAGUUCCUCGACAUGUCGACCUCUUUAGCCUGUCAAAAGGGAACUCGUAUCCCUCCGCGCCCUACUCUCCCGAGUACAAUAAAGAAGCAGACGGCAGCAGUGACGUCGCAGUAUAGCGACAACUAUGGCGACUACAAAGACGACUCCCGGCCUUCCCCGUCAUACUCCUCCGAGUAUAAGAACGAACGAGACAUCAGUGAGGUUUCAAGUUACAGCAAGCCCGACGUUUUCGGAAGAAAGAAGCCAGACAUCUCUAAUCCUCCAAAAGACCUCCUACCCAUCCCUGCCAUACCCUCCCGAGUACAAGGACCCGAUGUCAUCAAGGAUGUUCCUCCAUUUAUCAAGCCCUUUACCAGCAGAAGAAAGAAAACAGAUACCUACACCCGUCCUCAGGAGAGCUCCUACCCCUCCUUGUCAUACCCUCGAGACUAUGAUAACUUUCCUGAUAACAGCAGGAAGGUCGGGAAAUAUUUACGCAACCUAGCGGAAAGAAGCCAGAUGGUUUUAGACGCUCACAGGAGACCUCUGAGUCCUUCCAACCAUAUCCUCCCACAUACGAUAAGAAAGAAGACGACAGCAGCAGACAUCCUCGACAUCUUAACAACGGUCAAGACUAUCGAGAACAGAAUCCUUCAGGCUUCAAGUACAACAAACCUGAGUAUCCCUUCUCACGCCUCGUCAAAGGAGCAGGGACAAUAUUUCAGGACAUAGUCAAGGACCACAUUCCUGCGCUAAUCAAACCCUUUUUGAAUGACAAGAGAGCCAAGAGACCGUCCGGAUAUUAUGAAGAUGACGAAAAGAGAUACGAAGACGAUGAGAAGGAAUACAUCCAUCCUCUGCCGAUGGCUAUAGAAAGCCUGCUGAGAAAGAGAACUAUCAGCAGUUCAAGAAAGGAGAAUAUCCUUUCAGCCCGCUAGAACUCAUCAGAAACUUUUUCCCCAAGUCCAAGAAAUAUUAACGUGGGAUGACCUGGUGACGCAGUCUACAUCAGAAAAAAGUUGGUUUCUGUCACUUCCAUGUUGGAAACCAGCUAAGGAUCCUUUACAGGGUGGCAACAUUUCUUAAACUCGAAAAGAGGCAUCAGACAUAUAUACAAGUCAACGGAAAUAUAACUGGAAUGCACUUUGAUAUCAGGACUAUAAAAAGAUUAUAACACUAGGAAUUUCAGCAAACAAAAACAAACAACUCAUGGCCUGUAUUUCAUUAUUCUAAUGUUAUUUAAAUUAAAGCUUUUUCACUUUUUUUUCCUCAUAAAACACACACACACACACACACACACACACACACACACACACACACACACACACACACACACACACACACACACACAUCUAUAAAUUGUCUUUAAAAAAUGUAUUUCCCUCCUGUAAUUCGAGACCAUGUACAAGAAAAAGUAAAUGAAAGUUAUUCAA
rnacentral:lncRNA from 1 species